GACGAACGCUGGCGGCGUGCUUAACACAUGCAAGUCGAACGGAAAGGCCCUUCUUUUGUGGUAUGCUCGAGUGGCGAACGGGUGAGUAACACGUGAGUCCCCUGCCCUUGACUUUGGUAUAACUUCAGGAAACUGGGGCUAAUACCGUAUAGGAGCUCCUUCUGCAUGGUGGGGGUUGGAAAGUUUCGGCGGUUGGGGAUGGACUCGCGGCUUCUCAGCUUUUUGGUGGGGUAGUGGCUUCCAAAGGCUUUGGCGGGUAGCCGGCCUGAGAGGGUGACCGGCAAAAUUGGGACUGAGAUACGGCCAAGACUCCUAGGGGAGGAAGAAGGGGGGAAUAUGGAAAAAGGGGCGGAAGCCUGAUGCAGCAACGCGGGGGGCGGGAUGACGGCCUUCGGGUUGUAAACCGCUUUCGCCUGGGACGAAGCGUGAGUGACGGUAAUGGGUAAAGAAGCACCGGCUAACUACGUG
rnacentral:rRNA from 1 species